UGUCAAUAUGCUUUUUGCAACUUGAUUUUAUCAUUCAGUAUAUGUCUUUUAAAGGUUGCUUUGUUUUGAAGACAGAGUCUCGCUAUGUAUUUCAGGCUGGACUUGACCUCACUAUGUAGCCCAUGCUGGCCUCCAAUCUGCAACAAUCCUCCUGCCUCAGCCUCCCGAGUGCUGGAAUUACAGGUGUGCACUAGCACGCUCAGCUUAAAGUUUCAUUAGGAGAGAGUGUAGGACAGUGAAUUUAGUUCAUUCAUUGGGGUGGGGUAAGGGCAGUGCUGGGGAUCAAACCCAGGGCCUCAAGCAUGCAGGGCAAGCUCUCUACCACUGAGCUUUUCAUCUUCAUCUAUUUCACCUGCUGAAUAGAAUCCAUUGUAUCUAUAAACCACAUGCUGACCGAGCCCCACAUCUACAACACUCUUUGAUGUUACGCGGUUCACUACCUUUGGCCAAUAUAAUGGAUACAAAAUGAUGUCUCAUUGAUUUGUAAUUCAGUUUCCCUGAUUGUUAGUGGAAUUGGGAAUCUUUUCUGUAUUAAGUGUCCGACCGAGUCACUAAGGUUUUUCUCUCUGUGAAUUGUGGGCAUGUUGUUGUUCAUUCUUUUAGAUUCUUUUGUUGGAGCCAUGUGGAAAUUCUUCGUUCUUGUGCAUACCAUGUAUUUGUUGACGGAGUUACCUUGCCUCUGAAUGAAGAGGUCUUGUGCCUGUGGGAGAUGGCAGAAAGAAGAGGCCACUAGGGGGCGCCCAAGACCUCAGAAUAGUUCACCUAUACCAGUAAAAGACACUGCGGGCUCAGCUGCCUGCCUCAGAAUUGGAGGCCUCCAUCUGCACAGACUCUGGAAUGAUCCAGGAAGGCCUGCACGGGCUCAUUGGACAGGGAAGAGUAUGGCUGGCUCCGAGAGGAGAGAGAGAAGCGGCAUUUCCAGACUUCCUCGGGCCCAGGGUGUAAACCACUACCUGCACCUCCCCUCUCCUGGAGGAAGGGACAGAAAAUGCAGGCACGGGCUCCUGGGGGCCAAGCACAGGGAAGGGAGAGGUGAGGGCUGGGCCCAAGCCCGGUCCUGUCUGUCGCAUGGUGUCCCCCACGCUGUUCCUCGCUAGAAAAGAG
rnacentral:lncRNA from 1 species